AGCGAACGUUAGCGGCAGGCCUAACACAUGCAAGUCGCACGAGAAUCCGGCUUCGGCCGGUAGUAAAGUGGCGGACGGGUGAGUAACACGUGGAUAAUCUGCCCUUCGGCGGGGGACGAACAGUCCGAAAGGACUGCUAAUACCGCAUACGUCGGCGAGGUCUUCGGAUCUUGCCGGGAAAGAUGGCCUCUUCAUGAAAGCUAUCACCGAAGGAUGAGUCCGCGUCCCAUCAGCUAGUUGGCGGGGUAAUGGCCCACCAAGGCUUAGACGGGUAGCUGGUCUGAGAGGAUGAUCAGCCACACUGGAACUGGGACACGGUCCAGACUCCUACGGGAGGCAGCAGUGGGAAUAUUGGGCAAUGGGCGCAAGCCUGACCCAGCCAUGCCGCGUGAGUGAUGAAGGCCU
rnacentral:rRNA from 1 species